GAGGCAGUGAGGUGGAGGCAUGUGGGGGUGAGCGGCAUGGAGGUGCUGUGGCAGCUGUCCUGCACCCCAGGACACACACACCAACGUGGAGAGGAAGGCACUGUGCAGAGCGCUUUGUUGUGCCUACUGGUGUUCAAGAGCAAGGCAGAUUCUUUACCGACUGAGCUACAAGAGAAGCCCCAAAAUACUUCCCUACAAGUCUUAAAGCAGCAGUGUUCAUUUUUGAAGAAAAUCUACUGGAUACGUCUGACUGGCCAUGACUGUGCUCCAUAUUUAGUCCUACUUCUUAGUUAUGCCAGUGUGAAAUUAUACAGCUGGUGUUUCUGUGUCAGUUUCAUGAGGAAAGAAGCCUAGAGAUUCUUCUUUCUGGUAUGAAAUUUGUCAACAUAGCUUACCAGCAUGGUGUUCUUCCCCUGCUGUGUUCACACAUCGUCAUGAUCAUGAGUUGUUUACUUCCCCAAGGGUUUCUUUUUAGCAGCUGACUCUGCUGUGUCUCCACAGAACAUGUUAACUGGUGUUGUCUCAAAGUGCCUUCUUAGGACCUUCUCACUGCCUUCUCACCAGGAUUUGUCUUGCACUUCAGCACUGUUUGAGAUGCAUCAAAAGCAAAGAGAAUAUAUAGGAGUUCAUUAGCCUCAUGUCCAUCUAGAGCAUGUGGGAUCUUAGUUCUCCGACUAGAGAAUGAACCUGCACCCCCUGAAUUGGAAGCACGGAGUCUUAACCACUGGACCACCAG